rnacentral:rRNA from 1 species
AACGAACGCUGGCGGCAGGCCUAACACAUGCAAGUCGAGCGCCCCGCAAGGGGAGCGGCGGACGGGUGAGUAACGCGUGGGAAUUUUCCUCAAGGUACGGAACACCUCAGGGAAACUUGGGCUAAUACCGUAUGAUGUCUAGCGACCAAAGAUUUAUCGCCUUGGGAUAAGCCCGCGUCAGAUUAGGUAGGUGGUGGGGUAACGGCCUACCAAGCCUGCGAUCUGUAGCUGGUCUGAGAGGACGAUCAGCCACAUUGGGACUGAGACACGGCCCAAACUCCUACGGGAGGCAGCAGUGGGGAAUCUUGCGCAAUGGGCGAACGCCUGACGCAGCCAUGCCGCGUGAAUGAUGAAGGUCUUAGGAUUGUAAAGUUCUUUCGCCCGUGACGAUGAUGACGGUAACGGGAGAAGAAGCCCCGGCUAACUUCGUGCCAGCCGCCGCCGUAA